rnacentral:ncRNA from 1 species
UCGGGCUCCCCAGCAGUCGCCCGGCUUCUUUCAGGCAUCCGCCCAAGCACUGC